ACACGUAGGGGGCGAGCGUUGUUCGGAAUCAUUGGGCGUAAAGGGCGCGCAGGCGGCGAGGCAAGUCCGGUGUGAAAGUGCUCGGCUCAACCGAGUGAUGCGCUGGAAACUGCCCUGCUUGAGUACAGGAGGGGACGUCGGAAUUCCAGGUGUAGGGGUGAAAUCUGUAGAUAUCUGGAAGAACACCGGUGGCGAAGGCGGACGUCUGGCCAUGUACUGACGCUGAGGCGCGAAGGUGCGGGGAGCGAACAGGUUUAGAUACCCUGGUAGUCCGCACAGUAAACGAUGUGCACCAGGUGGCGGGUGGUAGCCCUCGGUACCGAAGCCAACGCAUUAAGUGCACCGCCUGGGGAGUAUGCUCGCAAGGGUGAAACUCAAAUGAAUUGACGGGG
rnacentral:rRNA from 1 species